rnacentral:rRNA from 1 species
CAGCCGCCACGGUAAUACGUAGGGUGCAAGCGUUAAUCGGAAUUACUGGGCGUAAAGCGUGCGCAGGCGGUUCGCUAAGACAGAUGUGAAAUCCCCGGGCUUAACCUGGGAACUGCAUUUGUGACUGGCGGGCUAGAGUAUGGCAGAGGGGGGUAGAAUUCCACGUGUAGCAGUGAAAUGCGUAGAUAUGUGGAGGAAUACCGAUGGCGAAGGCAGCCCCCUGGGAUAACACUGACGCUCAUGCACGAAAGCGUGGGGAGCAAACAGGAUUAGAUACCCCAGUAGUCCCUGUCUCUUAUAC